AUGAAUAAACUUGGUCAAGCUGUUGCUGGUCCUUCGGGGCAUGUGCACGCUUGCCACCAAUUUUAACCACCUGUGCACCUUUUGUAGACUGAAUCCAAAUUCUCGAGGAAACUCGGAUUGAGAACUGCUGUGCGCAAGCCAGCUCUUCUUGUGUUUCUCAGUCUAUGUCUUUACAUACCCCAAAUGAAUGUAUAAGAAUGUAUUGCUAGGCCUUUGUGCCUUUAAAUCAAAUA
rnacentral:misc_RNA from 1 species